rnacentral:tRNA from 1 species
GAGGGUAUAGCUCAAAUGAUGGAGCACAUACUUAGCAUGUACAUGGUCCUGGGUUCAACCCCCAGUACCUCCU